AACGAAGUGCCCACAAAAAAACCCGGCGAGACGAUGUCCUUGGCCCCGCCAAAGGGCAGUGAAAUUCCUGGCACUCCAUAACAACAUCAUCAAAGGCCAUGGCGCAACUUUGGUUCCCAGGAGUCCUUUCAGCAGAACCGCCGCGAAGAUCCAAGAUGCCCAAGUACCCAGGCUCUGACAGAAUUACAGAAAUUCAGGGGGGAGACGAGAGUCAGAGGAUCCUCCACUCCUAAGACAAAUACCGUGGACUCGGUUACCAUUUGGUCGCUCGUCUUGUCAAUCACUUGGGAUCGAGUUGAGCGGGCAGGCCUCAAUUGGAAAAUGUCCAAGGAUGACCGGCGGACGCUUCCUGUUUGGGUAAGUUGAUACUCCGGCCUAGGCAGGGGCUUAAUUAGCCACACGACAGAACUUGGACUCCGACUCCGACUGCGACUGCGACCCCGACCCCUUGGUGACCUCAUAGCUGACGGUGGCGACUAAUUUAUCAAAAAAUGGAGAGGAAAAAGCUGAAAUAACUCUACGCAUAAUUAAAUCAAGCCAAACAAAACAGAAACUGCUAUAAGGGAACUAGCCACAGAAACAUUAAGAUAACCAAAUGCGUUUUUAAGCCGUUGAGCAACGCCUCUUUCUAACAGUUUCAACUUGGUCUAGAGUCUUGAGAGUUUUCGGGAUUGCUUUUUCUUAUCCAUUCUGGCGUUUUGUUUGAAUUUUUCCCUUGGUUAAUUGCCGCUUAUUAAUCUUUGGUGCGGUUAAUGGUUUACGGACUCACAGAAAACCGAAAUUCUAAUUAAUGAAAUAUAUAUUUUUCGGCCUUUUGCUUGCAUUGUUUUCUAAGCCGAAACUAUAAUCAAUCAUCGCAGUUCGCAGCCCAAAGAUUCCACAGACUCUACUAGAGUGUGUUGACAAAUUUUGUGAGUUGCCGGGGCAGAUUGACAGGAAAAUUAAGCAAUCAAUCAUGGGCUAUCAAACGAAGCCGCCGCAAAUGGCCUUCUAAAGGUCUAUAGAGCCGAAAUCCAGUCUUAUCAAACGAUGAUGCACGUCUGGGCCAUUAUUUAAAUGCUAAUGUUAAUACACGAAAUCACGUUAGUCGAGAAUGUUGACAAAAUCUCAGGCUGAUUCAGGUUUCCGAUUUAUUUUUAGUCGCUGCUGCGCUGCGCUACUCGUGUAUCUCGCAUGCGAUUGAAAUGAAAUAUAAAAUUACAUUAAAUUACCGGAUGUAAUUGCGGUGGUCGUGCCAGUCGUCGCUGUCUCGCUCUCUCUCUCUCUUGUUUUCCCCCUGUCAGUUCGGUCAGUGAAUCACGAAAUGCGUCGAAACAAAAGACUGAGGCAACGAACUCGAUUCGAGCAACGCGCACACACUCAUGUCCAAAAUCAGAAAGAGCUGCAACCCACACAGAAAGGUAACGAGCAUCGAAGACCCACACAAAACAGCCAAAGUUAAGUGCUAUCUUAUCAGGGCUAACGAUUUUGUCAAAUGACAAUUUUCUCGGCCUCAUUGAAAGCUGAAUGCCGAACGCCGAACGCUGAAUGCCUCUUUUUCACGCCAUCCAUUUGACUUUUGUAUGGUCCAUUUAGUUGUCAAUUAUUUUUGAUAGCCCCAGCUCAGGCAGCUGAUAAGAGAGCCAGCCAGCCAGCCAAUACAAGACUCGUUUUGGGCCAACUGGGAAAAGGAGCCAAAGGGGCAAAAACAAAAUCGGAUCCAGCUACUGCAGCGCCUGGCCUGAACCGCUCUCCGUUUUGGCCACAUUUGCAUAUUGAACGGCAGUUUGUCUUGAGCCUGAGCUUUUAGUUAUGGCCAAGCAUUAAAUUUAACUAUUAAGCCAUUUUUGGUUCGACUUUCCAAUGGGGCCAAACACAACAAACAUUGUCUCCUGACAGUUGUUCCCUAUGGGAGUUUAUUUUUUCGUUGUAUUUGUCUUGGAAUUUAUGAGCCAAAAACUCACCGACAGAUGGACAGAGUGAUUAACAAGAAAUGGAGAGGCAUGGGAACUUGGGAUUGGCCACAUAUAAAAAAGGCCAACAGCUCACUUGAUGGUUGCUUCCCCGUUUCAUUGCCUUGAACUAUCCUAAAAGCUAGAAAGAAAUUAAACCAAAUGCCAAGGGAAAUUGUAGCGAGAUGAUUACAAAUAUUUUUAUGGCUUAGCUAACUCAUUGCACUUGGGCAAUAAAAUUAUUUAAGGUGUCUGAAAAAUAAUCUUGGGUAUAAUAAAAAAGAUCUAAGCUGUAUAAUGCAAUUUAUUUGAUUUGAGAGUUUCAUAAAUCAAUUCAAGUGUUAAUGGUCAGAAAUUAAAAUCUGGUUUAUACACUAAAUCAAGCCAUUUAAAAGAGUAUGAAAUAAAUACAAAUUCAUUUAUGUAUAAUUUUAACAUAAAACAGUUAGAAAAACUACACGAAAAAGAGGAAGUUGCCACCCAGAAAUAUAAAUCUGAUUUUAUUUCAUUGCAAGAAAUUCGAAUUAUCAAGAGAUAAAAUUCAUUUCUUGCAACUCAAUCAAGCGGCAUGCAGCAGAGGCUGCUGACCUAUAUAUGGCUAAUAAGAACCGACUUGCGUACCUGCAUAUAUUCGCUGGCAACAUACAGAUAUAUCCUCGUUACAUAUUCCCCAUAUUGAUAUCUCCACCUCCUGGCCGUCGGGGUUCGUGCAACAAUUUUCGUCGAAAACAAUUUCGCAGAGCACGAGAUGCGGAUGGUUGGUUGGAAUGGAGGCCAGGAAAGAUCAACGGAAAAUGAGAAAUAUUUUCGCAGUGCAUAUGCCACGCACGUAGAGUGCAAACCAAACGAAACAGUAACAAUCAGACAAUCAUGCACAUAAUCAUGCCAUCAAUAUAUGGCAAUUAUCAAUGAAAUUUAUAACAAUCCACGAAAUGUAACGAAAACUUAACCGACCAAUAAAAAUUUCAUUUUUCAAAAAGGAGUCUUGGUUGGUCAUCAGAGGGGAGCAAAAAAAAAAAAGGAAAGAAAACCGACAACAUGAUCAUGAGCGUUCGCUUCGCCUUGUGAUCUGCAUCAUAAAAACGUGCCAGAUUGAUGCGUGAUUGAAAUGCCAAUUGGUUUCCAGUUGGAC